rnacentral:rRNA from 1 species
UACGUAGGGGGCAAGCGUUGUCCGGAUUUAUUGGGCGUAAAGAGCGUGUAGGCGGUUUGGUAGGUCCGCUGUGAAAACUCGAGGCUCAACCUCGAGACGCCGGUGGAAACCAUCAGACUAGAGUCCGGAAGAGGAGAGUGGAAUUCCUGGUGUAGCGGUGAAAUGCGCAGAUAUCAGGAGGAACACCUGUGGCGAAAGCGGCUCACUGGACCAUAACUGACGCUGAUGCACGAAAGCUAGGGGAGCAAACAGG